rnacentral:rRNA from 1 species
GGACGAACGCUGGCGGCGUGCUUAACACAUGCAAGUCGAGCGGAAAGGCCCUUCGGGGUACUCGAGCGGCGAACGGGUGAGUAACACGUGAGUAACCUGCCCUUGGCUCUGGGAUAAGCCCGGGAAACUGGGUCUAAUACCGGAUAUGACUACCGGCUGCAUGGCUGGUGGUGGAAAGUUUUUCGGCUGGGGAUGGACUCGCGGUCUAUCAGCUUGUUGGUGGGGUGAUGGCCUACCAAGGCGACGACGGAUAGCCGGCCUGAGAGGGUGACCGGCCACACUGGGACUGAGACACGGCCCAGACUCCUACGGGAGGCAGCAGUGGGGAAUAUUGCGCAAUGGGCGGAAGCCUGACGCAGCGACGCCGCGUGGGGGAUGAAGGCCUUCGGGUUGUAAACCUCUUUCACCAUCCACGAAGCGAAAGUGACGGUAGAUGGGGAAGAAGCGCCGGCUAACUAC